rnacentral:rRNA from 1 species
CCUAACACAUGCAAGUCGAACGGUAACAGGAAACAGCUUGCUGUUUCGCUGACGAGUGGCGGACGGGUGAGUAAUGUCUGGGAAACUGCCUGAUGGAGGGGGAUAACUACUGGAAACGGUAGCUAAUACCGCAUAACGUCGCAAGACCAAAGAGGGGGACCUUCGGGCCUCUUGCCAUCAGAUGUGCCCAGAUGGGAUUAGCUAGUAGGUGGGGUAACGGCUCACCUAGGCGACGAUCCCUAGCUGGUCUGAGAGGAUGACCAGCCACACUGGAACUGAGACACGGUCCAGACUCCUACGGGAGGCAGCAGUGGGGAAUAUUGCACAAUGGGCGCAAGCCUGAUGCAGCCAUGCCGCGUGUAUGAAGAAGGCCUUCGGGUUGUAAGAC